UGUGUGUGUGUGUGUGUGUGUGUGUGUGUAGCUUAUAACAUGUAACAUUGCUCUUAGUAUAGACCAAAAAAUAAAAGGUGCUUAUUCAAGCAUUUACAAUUAGCUGUCUCCAAUUACAACUGACACAAACAUUUCCUCCAAUUUUUUAUCAUGGUCUCCAAAUCUUGUUAGGAUAUGAAACCCAGAUUUGGUAAAUACAAUCUCCUUUCUUUCAAAAGCAUCUGAAUUGGAGCAAAUGAACAUUUAUGCAUAAUGGGUGUUAAACAUUAAUAGAGAAUGGCUAACUGCUUUGGAACAUAGGAUUUAGUUCUACUGAAGAAUGUGUGUUUUUUUUGUUUUUUUGUUUUUUUUUUUUGUUGUUGUUGUUGUUGUUUUAAUGUAGUUAGGAAUUCCAGCAGGUAAAUUGCACUGAACAGAAAAUCUGGAAUCCAGCUUUGAAUUUACACCUAUUAUACUAUCAUUUAUCUUAAUAGUAGAUGAACUGAAAUUUCCAAUGAUUCUCCAUUUUUUUCUGUCCUCAAAAUGAAAUAGUCCAGUUGAAAAAAUCAUUAAUCUUCAAGUGGUGACAGAUAAAAAGGACUUAGUUUGUUGUCAGUACUUCUCAACUUAAAGGUUAGGUCAGCAAUGGCUUAUGUCAUGACACUGAUAAAUUUUUCUAAUGACCAGAAUAGUUUGAUUUAUAAUAGUUUUUUGUUUUUGUUUUAAGGAAUAUGUAUCUUUGCUAUCUGACUCCAUCCUAAAGAUGCAUUUCUCUAUUUUGCGUUCUUUCUUUUUUUACAACAUAGAGGUGAGAUGACAGAGCAAUAAGUAAUACUCAGUAAAAUUAAAAUAAGCAUUUUAAGAGCUUUUCAUGAAUUUUUAAAAGCAUAAUUGUAAAGAUGAAAACUGGGCAAAGGGCUAAGGGGAAAAUGGUCAGGAGUCUUUGUGGUUUAAAGGACUCAAGAGGGUAAAGAUUUCUGUUGACUGAGAAGUUAAUGAAAGUAUAAAAUCAGACAAAAAGCAUAUAGGCAGAUUUCCUAAUCUCAGGAAUAAACUAACCUAUCUUUGAAAUUUUUGAAUAAUGUUCAUUAACCAAAGGGUCAAGAUAAUUGUUUUGUUUGAGGGUCUUUUACUCCAUUAAAAAUAAAGGAGGAUCAAAAUCCCUGGUUUACUGGUAUUAUCAGAAAUAGGCUAUCUUGACUAGCAAUAUUCAGGCCUUUCCUCAAGGUUAGGCCAAUCUAGUUUCUUUCCCCAUGACUUCAGUUCCUUUACUCUUCCUUGCACAAUACUUGUAAGUUCAUAGUCAUGUUAUUGGAGGAAAUGGGCUUAAGGAGAGGUUGAAAGCCAUUUACAAAAAAAAUGGUUAGACUGGUUUUCUCUCAAUGCCAUUUUUCUUGACUAAUUAUAGUUCUUUUUUAAAAAUAGGAUGUAAUUAAAAAUUAAAUGUAAUUAAAAAUUAAGUAAAAUUACGUAGGGGAAUAUAUUAUAAGCAAAUGUGUUGCUAAUAGUGGUUGUAUUUAUGAUAGAAUUUCGAAUAUUUUCUUCACUUCUCCAAGUUUCUUUGUAACAUGAUUCAUAUUUAUAAUGCCAGUAACUCAUUUAUUUUUUAAAGUAAUGCUCCUAACAUAAGAAUCAAGUCUUGAAAUUUUUCUAAAGCUCUUAAUCAAAAUGGCAUCUACUGGAUUUUUAAAAUAUAAAGUAUAUCUGUGAUGCCUGGGGGCUCAAUUGGUUGAGCAUCCCACUCUUGAUUUUGGCUCCAGUCACGAUCUCACGGUUCACGAGAUCAAGCCCCACAUGGGGCUCUGUGCUGUCAGCAUGGAGCCUGCUUGGGAUUUUCUCUCUCCUUCUCCCUACCCCUUCCCUGCUUGUACACACCUAAAAAUAAAUAAACAUUAAAAAAAUAAAAUAUAAAGUACGUUUCUAAAACACGCCAUUUUUCUUCAGUGAAGGAUAUAAUUAAAUACAGUACCAUCUAAUGUAGAUCUCAAAAAAAUAUAUGUGGACUGUAUGCCUCACCCCACCUUUGAUUGUGAAUCAUUUUACUGAUCAUUUUACUCAUCAUUUUACUGAUAAAUGCUGCUUCAGUCUUCUAAGCCUCUUCCAAGUAGCGUUUAGGGUGGGGCCAUUAGGAAGAUUCUUAAAUUGUUAAAGAUUAAACUUCUUCAUGUAGAAACCUUGUGGAGUCAUGAUAACAUAGCUUCACUAUGAGCCUUUUCUGAUUUUAGAAGUAUUCAUGGAACCUGAAGAAUUACUUUUCUGAUUGUUUUUUUUUUUUGUUGUUGUUAUUGUUUUUUUCAGAUUCAACACCAAAAACAGGGAGAAACUAAGACUGAAUCAAGGCUGUAGCUUAAAUGCAUUUGAAGGGAGUUUACUACUGUGUUACUGGGCAUUUUUUUUCUUGUAUCAUCCCAGACUUGGAAAAAACUUACUUUUUACUAUAGAUUUUAUUCUAUACAACAUUAAUGCAGAUACAAGCAGCCAGUGUCUACUGAGAGAAUUCUUACCCUCUUCUCCAGAGCAUAUUAUUUUGCACCUCUUCUGUGAAGGCUAGGAGAAUGAUUGCUUGUAAGGGAAAUUUUUAAAGUAGUGUUCAGUAACUUCAAAUGAAUAAAAUGGACCGUCACAUUGAUCUAUUUUAAAACUACUUUUUCAAACAUGAAGUAUUUGACUUUUCCCAGUGGGUUCCCAUGUACUUCAAAGACCCUGCUGUAGUUUGCUAGUUCUCUGUGUUAAUAGAAUCUUCCAUGUAAGAGUUCCAGAUCAAAGGCAAGGAGUAAGUAUACCAUUGUGUAAGACUGGGUCAGAACUUGGGUCAGUUACCUAUCGUGUUACACAACAGAGUCAACAAAAGCACAAACAUUAUCCCUCUCUGUAUAAUAGAAAAUAGACACAUAAGUCUUUAUCAAUUUUUUCUGAGAGUUUAUAAGUUCUUGACACCAAUAAGUUGUUUUCUGUGAUUUCAGUAUUACAGGUUACACAGAUUUUGUCUUGUAACAAAAUUUUGCUGUACAAAGGAGGAAUGUUUUGUGCGAAUGAUGUAGAGUUUAGUUGUAAGGUUUCCAGUUCUCUGAAUGGCUUUAUUAAAAGAUCUCUGAACUUGGGACACACAUGGGUAUUUCCCCUCUCUCAGCCCUCUUCUGUAGUCCAGCUGCCUCAGUAAUUACUCUUGACUGUUGUCUCAGGUGGGUCUCCUGUAAUCAAGAGACACUUAAGCAUGGUUGGGGCCAGGUGUGCACCUUUCUCUAUGCUGUGAGCCUUCCCCUAAACUUGUUACCAUUUGAAUUUUAGCAAAAUAAAAUGUCUCAAGUUGACUCAUGCCUUUGUGAAGCUUGUCUUUGAUAAUAAGUGGAACUGAGUCUAUAUUAUCAUCUUGGCACAACAGCAGCAACCGGCCAGCUCUUGGAAUCUCUCGUGCUUUCCUCCUAAGAAAAUAAGAGGUGGUUUGCAGGUUCCUUCAUUGACUCAGUGAGUUACAUCAGUCAUCCUGGGAAAGAGAAUUAUAAUUGAAAAGAAUGACACUAUUGCUUAAUCUCCCUCCAGCCCACUCUCCUGUCUGACACCAAAUCAAAAACUCAACUGAAACAAAAGAAAAAAGGUAAUGGCGACUUCCUUCACAAACUCCAGCUGAACCUUCCUUGGAGGAAAAUUGCCCCUAAGAGCCCUGGUAGGUUUUUGAUGUAACUCUCUCUCUCCUUUCUC